CAUUCACGGAGAGUUUGAUCCUGGCUCAGGACGAACGCUGGCGGCGUGCUUAACACAUGCAAGUCGAACGAUGAAGCCUUUCGGGGUGGAUUAGUGGCGAACGGGUGAGUAACACGUGGGCAAUCUGCCCUUCACUCUGGGACAAGCCCUGGAAACGGGGUCUAAUACCGGAUAACACUCUGUCCCGCAUGGGACGGGGUUAAAAGCUCCGGCGGUGAAGGAUGAGCCCGCGGCCUAUCAGCUUGUUGGUGGGGUAAUGGCCUACCAAGGCGACGACGGGUAGCCGGCCUGAGAGGGCGACCGGCCACACUGGGACUGAGACACGGCCCAGACUCCUACGGGAGGCAGCAGUGGGGAAUAUUGCACAAUGGGCGAAAGCCUGAUGCAGCGACGCCGCGUGAGGGAUGACGGCC
rnacentral:rRNA from 2 species